AAAAGCAUUUCAUGUGGAGUGGAAGCAGCGGGCUGACGAAUUUACUCUGCUGGCAGGAGCCCAGUCACCUUGGCCAGUCAAGGAGAACACAGUUACCUUUCUCAAAGCAUCCUGAUUUGUGCGAGGAGACGAAAAGGGGAGAGAAGGCAGCGCCGCCUCAUUGAGACGAUCACCAAGGCUCCGACACAAACAGAGCGAUAAACAGAAACAGCCCAGAGAACGAGCCUCUCGACGCAAGCAGCCAUCUAGCCAAACAUCUAUGAGGCUAGAACGAGCCGAAUCAAAGCAACGGUGUGUUGUUUUUUUUUUUAUCUCGCAACGACAGAGCCCAAUAAACAGCUGUUUCCUGUGGCCGCGUCUCACUGCAGGAUGUGUCAGGAUGACUGCCGCCUCAGUAAUCAGACAGCCGACAGAUGACAGGACACCUGAGGUGUUUUGGACUGUAACGCGCAGCUGCUACCACUCCUGAAUGUGUCCUCGCUCCUUUAAUUUUGCUUUUAAUUUUCCCUCCGUCUUCCCCUGCACACUUGGAACACGCGAGCACGCGUCCAUGGAUUACAACAGCACUGCGAGCCGAGAGGAAAUCCAAGCCCAGGAGAUUAUUUGGCAGCCUUUCGCCCCCUCUGCACCCAAUCUGCCACAGAGCGACAGGCAGAGCUUAAGGACCUCAUCCCUCCACGGCGGCAGACCGAGCCUCAGCUUGACCUUGGCCAGAGGAGAGCCUGAGUCAUUAGCAUGGAAAAUGUUGUGCCUCGCAGUCUCACUGGUCAUUGUAAACAUCACAGAGUCUGGCUCAGCUUAUAAGCUUCCCCCUGCAGAUGCUUGCAUCACCGCUGGGCCAAAGCUAAAUCUUUUUACAGGCUUACAGAUACAGUUUUUCAAAAGGGAUUUUUUUUUUCUCUUACAAGUAUGAAAAAGGAGGCCUUCACAUUAUUUACAAAGCUAAAGAAAUAAAUCCGAUCGUCAGCAUCAGGCCCUGGCGAGGCAUGUCUGGCUCUUUGGACACAUGGAGUUACUUCCACAAAGUACUGGCCACAAAAACAGAAUACUGUGAAA